rnacentral:rRNA from 1 species
UGAGGAAUAUUGGUCAAUGGUCGCAAGACUGAACCAGCCAUGCCGCGUGCAGGAUGACGGUCCUAUGGAUUGUAAACUGCUUUUGUACGGGAAGAAACACUCCUACGUGUAGGGGCUUGACGGUACCGUAAGAAUAAGGAUCGGCUAACUCCGUGCCAGCAGCCGCGGUAAUACGGAGGAUCCGAGCGUUAUCCGGAAUCAUUGGGUUUAAAGGGUCCGUAGGCGGCCCUGUAAGUCAGCGGUGAAAUCUCCCGGCUCAACCGGGAAACUGCCGUUGAUACUGCAGGGCUUGAAUUGCCGGGAAGUAACUAGAAUAUGUAGUGUAGCGGUGAAAUGCUUAGAUAUUACAUGGAAUACCGAUUGCGAAGGCAGGUUACUACCGGCGUAUUGACGCUGAUGGACGAAAGCGUGGGGAGCGAACAGG